CUGAUUUCAUUUUAAGUGCAAUUGUGGUACAUCUCUGCAACAUAAGGAAGUACAUUCUUUGCUUUGGUACCAUAACAUUUAUUUGUUUAUUUUCUUGUUUCAAGAGAAGGUUACAUGGAACUCUUCUACAAUGCUAGGUGACGAACUGCUUUAGUGGUUGGAGAUGCUUGAGAAAAAGAUGAUCGGGAGAAUGUGUUUGAUAAAGGCGCACGGGGCACUGUUUAUUUUGGGGACUUAGUGUUUAUUUUCUUUGACUUGUUUGUCUUUUUUUUUCCCUUGACUGUAUUUUAUUGAGUAUGGUACAUAUGAACAUGAAUUUGGAUUGCAAAAGUAUGAAUUAUUGUUUCUUUUUGCUA